ACGGGUGAGUAACGCGUGGGUAACCUGCCCUGUACAGGGGGAUAACAGCUGGAAACGGCUGCUAAUACCGCAUAAGCGCACGAGGAGACAUCUCCUUGUGUGAAAAACUCCGGUGGUACAGGAUGGGCCCGCGUCUGAUUAGCUGGUUGGCAGGGUAACGGCCUACCAAGGCAACGAUCAGUAGCCGGUCUGAGAGGAUGAACGGCCACAUUGGAACUGAGACACGGCCCAGACUCCUACGGGAGGCAGCAUG
rnacentral:rRNA from 1 species